AUUGAACGCUGGCGGCAGGCUUAACACAUGCAAGUCGAACGGUAACACGAAGAUGCUUGCUUCUUUGCUGGCGAGUGGCGGGCGUGAGAGAAAUGUCCGUGACACUGCCUGGUGGAGGGGGCUACCUACUGGAAACGGUUGCUACUACCGCCUAACGUCGCAAGACCAAAAAGCGGGACCUUCGGGCCUCUUGCCAUCGGCUGUGCCGAGAUGGGAUUAGCUAGUAGGUGGGGUAACGGCUUACCACGGCGACGAUCCGUAGCUGGUCUGAGAGGACGACCAGCCACACUGGGACUGAGACACGGCCCAGACUCCUACGGGAGGCAGCAGUGGGGAAUUUUGGACAAUGGGGGCAACCCUGAUCCAGCCAUGCCGCGUGCGGGAAGAAGGCCUUCGGGUUGUAAACCGCUUUUGUUCGGGAAGAAAUACUCUGGGCUAAUACCCCGGGGGGAUGACGGUACCGGAAGAAUAAGCACCGGCUAACUACGUG
rnacentral:rRNA from 1 species